AUUGAACGCUGGCGGCAGGCCUAACACAUGCAAGUCGAGCGGAUGAAGGGAGCUUGCUCCUGGAUUCAGCGGCGGACGGGUGAGUAAUGCCUAGGAAUCUGCCUGGUAGUGGGGGAUAACGUCCGGAAACGGGCGCUAAUACCGCAUACGUCCUGAGGGAGAAAGUGGGGGAUCUUCGGACCUCACGCUAUCAGAUGAGCCUAGGUCGGAUUAGCUAGUUGGUGAGGUAAAGGCCUACCAAGGCGACGAUCCGUAACUGGUCUGAGAGGAUGAUCAGUCACACUGGAACUGAGACACGGUCCAGACUCCUACGGGAGGCAGCAGUGGGGAAUAUUGGACAAUGGGCGAAAGCCUGAUCCAGCCAUGCCGCGUGUGUGAAGAAGGUCUUCGGAUUGUAAAGCACUUUAAGUCGGGAGGAAGGGCAGUAAGUUAAUACCUUGCUGUUUUGACGUUACCAACAGAAUAAGCACCGGCUAACUUCGUG
rnacentral:rRNA from 1 species